rnacentral:rRNA from 1 species
GAUGAACGCUGGCGGCGUGCCUAAUACAUGCAAGUCGAGCGAACGGACGAGAAGCUUGCUUCUCUGAUGUUAGCGGCGGACGGGUGAGUAACACGUGGAUAACCUACCUAUAAGACUGGGAUAACUUCGGGAAACCGGAGCUAAUACCGGAUAAUAUUUUGAACCGCAUGGUUCAAAAGUAAAAGACGGUCUUGCUGUCACUUAUAGAUGGAUCCGCGCUGCAUUAGCUAGUUGGUAAGGUAACGGCUUACCAAGGCAACGAUGUAUAGCCGACCUGAGAGGGUGAUCGGCCACACUGGAACUGAGACACGGUCCAGACUCCUACGGGAGGCAGCAGUAGGGAAUCUUCCGCAAUGGGCGAAAGCCUGACGGAGCAACGCCGCGUGAGUGAUGAAGGUCUUCGGAUCGUAAAACUCUGUUAUUAGGGAAGAACGUAUGUGUAAGUAACUGUGCACAUCUUGACGGUACCUAAUCAGAAAGCCACGGCUAACUACGUG